rnacentral:rRNA from 1 species
UCAGAAUGAACGCUGGCGGCAUGCCUAACACAUGCAAGUCGAACGAAUGCCCUUCGGGGUGUUAGUGGCGCACGGGUGCGUAACGCGUGGGAAUCUGCCCUUGGGUUCGGAAUAACAGUUGGAAACGACUGCUAAUACCGGAUGAUGACGUAAGUCCAAAGAUUUAUCGCCCAGGGAUGAGCCCGCGUAGGAUUAGGUAGUUGGUGUGGUAAAGGCGCACCAAGCCGACGAUCCUUAGCUGGUCUGAGAGGAUGAUCAGCCACACUGGGACUGAGACACGGCCCAGACUCCUACGGGAGGCAGCAGUGGGGAAUAUUGGACAAUGGGCGAAAGCCUGAUCCAGCAAUGCCGCGUGAGUGAUGAAGGCCUUAGGGUUGUAAAGCUCUUUUACCCGGGAUGAUAAUGA